rnacentral:lncRNA from 1 species
UUCGCUAAAAAAUCGGAGACCCUUCUUCUUCAGAAGAGGGAAACGCAUUGGAAAUGGCCUUUUUUUUUUUUUCUGAAAUUUCAGAACCAAUAAUUGAUUUGAUCAUCUUUAAUGUCUUCUCGUUCUCUGAUUCCACAAACUCAAGAAGUAAAACCCUUUCCUCAACCUUCGUUUCCAUUUCCAUUGAUUCUAUGCAAAUAAUAACAAGUACUUUAGCUAGAAAAGAGGUGCAAAAAAUCUUUAGACUGGGGUUACAAAAGCUGUGAAUGAAAUCUUGUUGCCAUUUAAUUUGCUGCUGUCGUGCUGAGCUUCAUCUUUGCUCUUUUAUCCUUUAUUCGGCAUUUUAAGCAAUCCGCUAUUUCUAGGUGUGUUUUCUCAGCUUUGUAUUUUAAUCUUUGAAAAGCAAUGAAGCUUCAGGCUCACUGUUAUGCUUUUGUUUGGUGUAGCCUUCGAUCUUAUUAACUGGCCAUAGACUGAAUUACUUGAAAUAUUUGAAUAUAACUCCUGUACUGGAUCAGAUGUGGUUGCUUUAUCGAAUGAUUAUGUUUGUAUCAUUUAUUUUCUUCAAAAACUGGUAGGAUGCAAUUUUAAGUUUGGCUUCAAGAGACAUGAACUGCAAAUCAGCACUAUAAAAUUUUUUUCUGUGAGUUGUCUAUGUGAAUCACUAAGUGGGUUAUUUUUAAUUAGUUAACGCUUGGUGAUACAGCUUUGUGAUUUGAUAAUAGCAAUAUUUUAUUUGUUGUAAAUCAUGAAUCAGUGGGGGAAGUUAAAACAUUCAAGCCCAUCAUCAUUUAUUUAUUUUUCAUUAGCAAUUGAUCCCCUUAAAUGAAGUCUUUGGCUAAUUAUGAGAAUGACCGUGUGUAUACACGUUAUUCAAUUCAUAUAUGAUGUAUGAUUGUUGAUUUCUAUUUGUUGAAAUUGGUUAUUAGUUAAUUCUUUUUUCUAGGAAUAAUUAUACAUAGAUAGGCUCAAAUUUGAGAAGGUUUCUUACAUGUUGCCAUGCCUUUAUUCGUAACAUGAAAUCUACUGAUUUUGUAAUAUGCAAUUCACUUGACCAUUCUACUCGGAACCAAGCAGUCAUGAAAAGAGGAUUUAUCAAUUAAUAUAGAUUCCAAUGUUUGAUUGCGAUUGGUGUUAAAACUCUAAACCAAGUAACGAAUUAUACGCUUUUCCACCAUGUUGCAAUUUCUAUAAUUCUUAAACUUUGCAAUAAUCUCAAGCUUACAAAGAGAUAAUUAAUAAUCGUAGUUGCUUUAGACGCAUAAUUUAAAUUACUUUCUUAAACUCGGGUGAGCAUUUAUGUGGCCCAAAUCUAAAUCUCAACAAUGUUAGAUAAAAUGUGUCGUGGACCGUGGGUGCAUUUAUGUGACGUAGUUCAAGACGUGUUUUAGAUGGCGUUGAAUCUUUCCUAAAAAUAACUAAAUAAAAGCAGUAAAUAAUUUAAAAUUACACCAUAGGUUGAACAUGUAUAAAAAUUAGAAUUGUUAGCCAAUUAUAAUAGUUUAAGCGACGGUGCUAGAACCACGAGAUCUGAGGGUGCCUAACACCUGCCCUUGGGUUAACAUAAUUCCUUACUCAAAAUUUUCUGGUUCACAGACUCCAUUCGGGAAAAUUUUCUCGAUUUAGGAUCCUAAAUAAAUUGGUGGCUUGGGACACCAAAAGCCAAACCUAUCGUAAGUGCAGACUCUAAAUAAAUAAAUAAUCUCAUUUCGAAUAAUGUCACUUUAAUUGGAAAAACUCUCUUAUACGUUUUGUCCUUCUGGGUUGCCGUGUAAAAUAGACGUGUGAUAGGCGUUCACAGCCCGGAGAUCCUCCCUACCUUAUUUCUUCACGUCUUUAGUUUUUUACAGAGCUCUGUAGUUUCGUUGGAGUAUUCCAUGUUGUUAGAUGCUCGUAAAUGCUGACACCCCGGUAUUUGGCUAUUUUGGGUUGUAUUCCGCAUAUUAUACUAUCUUUUGCUUGGACUUUGGCUUAUUUACUUAUGCUUCGUCUGUUUAUUACUGCUUAGUUGAUUAAAAAGUGAAUUGGAUUUAAUUGGCUGGCCGUGGCUUCACGAGAUGCGCGAUCAUGACCGUGUCUGGGUUUAGGGUCGUGACAAGUUGGUAUCAAAGCCUAGGUUACAUAGGUCUCAUGAGUCAUGAGCAUGUUUAAUUGAAUUUUUUGGAUCGGCAUGGAGACAUCUGUAUUUAUCUUCGAGAGUCUACAGAACCUUUAGGAAAACUUCAUAUUCUUGAAAUUCUUGUCAUGCAAAUUUGUUGAUCCAAGUACUAAUCUUUUGUUAUUCUAUUCUCUCACAAAUAGUGAGGACACGCGCUACCGGUCAGGAUGGACGACCACCAGUUCCACCACUUGUGGCCACCAGAGGCCGAUGAUGUAGUCGUGGUCGUGGUAGAGGCAGAGGAGUGAGGGCAUCACCUAUAGAUCCACCAGUUGCCCUAGUUCGGGACCAAGUGCCAGCUAUGGAUGCUCCAACAGCACCUGCUCAAGCACCAGUUGUGCCUAUUGUGAUCUAGGUCUUCAGGAGUCCUUGGCUCAGAUCUUAUCAGUUUGCACGGAGCGGUUUUAGCCACUACAGCGGCAGCUACUUCUCAGGCCACGGGAG